CAACUUCGCAUUUCACCUCUUGCUCUCUCCUGAAGUUGAGUUUUUAUUCUGACACAUUUAUAUAAUAUGUGACAUAUUAAGCAUGAGAGCGUACAUCCGAGCGUAGACGCUCAACAUCUGGUCUCAAAAUAAGUUUCUAUCGGAAUAUUUUCAAUUACUGCUUUGAUUCCAAAUCUCAUUAUAUUGUAGAUGAUCAAAUGGCGAUUAAGCAGGUCGAAUUGAUGGCAGUCCUGGCGGAAUCUCUUAAAGAGGCUUUGAAGACCAAGUGCUCAAAAUCAGCAAGUGGAGCACCAGCAGGACCACCAGCCCCAACAGCCCCAACAGACCCAACAGCCCCAGCAGACCCAACAGCCCCAGUAGACCCAACAGCAGCACUACCAGCAGUCGAGCCGGAAUUGGAAGAUUAGGUUAAAAAGCAAAGAAGAUCAAUGGCCUUGCUAAAAGCAAGAACACCGAGAAUGAUGACAGCAGCUUUUUCAAAUUUGGUCAAUUCCUUCACAUCCUUUUUUUUUUGAUUAAAAAUAAUAAAUAAGAUUAUCUGGCUGCAAUCAGAGCAGGUUUUUUUUCAUGAAUCCUUCUGAUUCAUUUUUUUCCCGCAUCUGUUCAGCCAGUUUUUGAAUGUGUUUAAUAAAUAAUUGAAUAAACAAAAGUUCCGCAUGAUAAACAAUCAAGAGCAAAAUCAA